rnacentral:rRNA from 1 species
CUUGCUUCUCUUGAGAGCGGCGGACGGGUGAGUAAUGCCUAGGAAUCUGCCUGGUAGUGGGGGAUAACGUCCGGAAACGGACGCUAAUACCGCAUACGUCCUACGGGAGAAAGCAGGGGACCUUCGGGCCUUGCGCUAUCAGAUGAGCCUAGGUCGGAUUAGCUAGUUGGUGGGGUAAUGGCUCACCAAGGCGACGAUCCGUAACUGGUCUGAGAGGAUGAUCAGUCACACUGGAACUGAGACACGGUCCAGACUCCUACGGGAGGCAGCAGUGGGGAAUAUUGGACAAUGGGCGAAAGCCUGAUCCAGCCAUGCCGCGUGUGUGAAGAAGGUCUUCGGAUUGUAAAGCACUUUAAGUUGGGAGGAAGGGCAGUAAAUUAAUACUUUGCUGUUUUGACGUUACCGACAGAAUAAGCACCGGCUAACUCUGUGCCAGCAGCCGCGGUAAUACAGAGGGUGCAAGCGUUAAUCGGAAUUACUGGGCGUAAAGCGCGCGUAGGUGGUUCGUUAAGUUGGAUGUGAAAUCCCCGGGCUCAACCUGGGAACUGCAUUCAAAACUGACGAGCUAGAGUAUGGUAGAGGGUGGUGGAAUUUCCUGUGUAGCGGUGAAAUGCGUAGAUAUAGGAAGGAACACCAGUGGCGAAAGCGACCACCUGGACUGAUACUGACACUGAGUGCGAAAGCGUGGGGAGCAAACAGGAUUAGAUACCCUGGUAGUCCACGCCGUAAACGAUGUCAACUAGCCGUUGGGAGCCUUGAGCUCUUAGUGGCGCAGCUAACGCAUU